GCUGUGUUGGAGAAAUGACAAUAUGUGAAAAAAUGAUGAAACCUAAUUAGGUUUUAUCUAGUUUUGGUCAUUUUUGCCUAGUUUAUUUUGGUUUGGUUUCAUCAUUGAAGCUGAGUUAUAUAGUAAUUUCAACCCCAAACUCAACUUACUUUUUUUUUUCUUUUUCAUCAGUGAAAGGAGUAUCAGCAACAUUUAAACAGGUUCAAGCGAUUAUCAAUUACUUCAACCUGUUUAAUGCUUUGAAGUAAUAGUUGGUGGAGAUCAGAAGUAGCGGAAAAUUACUCUUCUCUGAUCUUUCUCUGGGUCUGAAAUGGCUAGGUGCCCGGUGUGUCAUCGACGUGCAACGUUCUGGCAAAAUCAAACUAACCAAGAAUUUCAAGCAAAACUCAAAAGGGUACUGUUCCAAUCUCACACCAAAUGAAAAGAUAUCCAGCAACAUGGCCAAUCAAAAAAAGGUUGCAACAAAGAGCAUGAAUUUUUUCCUUACCAGAGUUAAAAUUUGGUAGAAAUUUUCGUAUUUUCCUUGGUCAAAACAACUGGAAUGGAUAUUCCAUGUGUAGACCUCAUCAUAUGUUUCUCUUGAUUAUACUAUUUUGUUGUUGUUGUAAGGAAA